AGAGUAACAUUGUAUUACAAUUUUGUAAAUUUCUUUAAUGUCUGGCUUAACAGAAGACAGCUGAAUUCUCUGCUUCCCCAUUCUCUGUUGUACUAUAUUAUUUUGGUCUAGGAAAUGAAGAAAAUCCUGUCUCACAUGGAUUUUUUUAGCCUUCUCUGACUAUUGUGGAUAUCUUUCUUUGAUACUAGCAAAACUCAACAAAUGGUAGUUUCUUAAAGGUUGGUUGCAUUGGGGUAUCUGAAACCAUUUGGGAAAUACUGGUUUACUGAGUUAUACAGAUCUCCCAAAUAUUGAUUCAUUUCAUUCAAUAUUUUUAAAAAUCACAUUUAUUAAAAUAACCACUAUGUCAUCAGUUUUGUGAAGCUAUUAAUCUCACUUUGGUGAAUACCAUAUUUCCCAAGUUAUCAUUUUGGCAUGAAAGCUCAAAUAUUGAAAUAGAAAUAUUUUCCUUGAAUGAAAGCUUAUUUCAUUCAAAUAUCCAAGUCUGAAUAACCAUAGUUUUUCUGUCAGUCAUUCUUUCAAAAAAAAAGUUGUGUUCUCUUAUAAAGAGCAGCUAGUUUAACCCACACAUCUCAAACAAUUGCACAACCUUAUAUAUUUCAGCAAGCAGCAAAAGUGCUUUAUGUACAUCUUCCAUUUCAUCACAGAGAAGAUUAAAAAGACAUAUUCUAGGAAAGAGAUUUCAUAAAGUUCAUAAUUUGUACCAUCAAGGGUAGUCUUAAGUGAAAGUGGCCUUUUAAUUCUUUUUUUGCAUAAGUAUAGCUGUGAAGAAUGCAAUGACUCUGCUAUAAGUUGAUGCCACGCUGCCUUGAUUCAUGCUAAGCUGCCAGCAGCUUCACCCACUGUUACUUUUGUACCAUCAGUGAAAAUGUCAACACAAUGGAAAAGAUCAAGUAAUGUCUUAAUAUUACCAGGAAAAUAAUUUUGACCAUGCAGACUCUCUGAAACUGUCUCUGGCACUCUUCAGACUCCAUGGACUACACUUGGAAAACCACAGAGUAUAUCUGCAGUAUGUAUCCAUUCACUCAGCGAAUAUUUAUUGAGCCCUUUCUAUGAGCUGAGAACUGUUUUUGGCAGUGAGCCAAACAGAAAAAUAUUCUGACCUCCUGGAGCUUAUAUUUUAAAGAAUAUACCAACAGCCCUAGCCGGUUUGGCUCUGUGGAUAGAGCGUAGGCCUUCGGACUGAAGGGUCCCAGGUGCGAUUCCUGUCAAGGGCACAUACCCAGGUUGUGGGCUCUAUCCCCAUGUGGGGCAUGCAGGAAGCAGCCGAUCAAUGGUUCUCUUUCAUCAUUGAUGUUUUAUCGCUCUCUCCCUCUCCCCCCCCUCUCUGAAAUCAGUAAAAAUAUAUUUUAAAAAUAAAAAUUUAGAGAUGAUAGGACUGAACUAAGUCCAGGCUGAGUGUUUUCCCUCCUAGAAUUUGGAAUGCCAAUAUCACUACUAGGCCAGCAUUCAACUUAGUAAAGAGGAAGGAUUUUUGGCUUCACUUUGCCUUGUAGUAGAAAGCAAUCAAGUUAGAGGUAUCCUGGUGUUCUGGUAUAUGGUUAAGGAAGUUUGAUAGAAGAGCUUAAGAUCCCCAGACAACCAUCUGUCUCUGUGCUGAGGUUUUAUCCAAAACUUACUGCUUUCCUAGACAAUGUUCAAGUUGCUCAUCUCACUUAUAUGAAUGACUUGUAAUCGACCUUGGCCUUGGGAGCUUCUUGCUGAAUAUUGAAAGCAAAUGAUAUCUGAAAUAACCCUCCUGCUGGGAUGAAAAGCAUAGUUGGCCCUGCUCUGUGAUAGCAAGGACAGCAGCACAGUUAAUUGACCCUUGAACAACACAGGUUGGGGCACUGACAUCCCUCCCCACACAGUUGAAAAUCCACAUAUAACCUGACUCCCCCAAAACUUAAAAUACCCUAUUGUUGACCAGAAGCCUUACCAAUAACAGUUGUAAAACACAUAUUUUGUAUGUUAUAUGUAUUAUAUACUAUAUUCUUACAAUAAAGAAAAUCAUAAGGAAGAGAA